AUGUGUACUCUUUGUGACUGCGAUUGUGGCACACAAGUAGAGAGAAACAUGUUUUGGAAACAUCUGCUCUAUUCCAACCCUCUGGAGAAGGAUAGUUCCUUACCUUGUGUGCUGGCUACUCAUGAGAAUGAAUUUCUGUGCUAUUUUAGGCAAGACCUGUAUGCACUCAAAGAUUAUGUAAAACCGAAGAUACAGAUCCAGUUACAAAUGCAGUUUUGCAAUUGGUCUUGGAUGCAGCCUAGAGAAACAAACUGGAUUCCAACAUGAAAGGUUUGGAGGUGUGUUUCAGUCAUUUACAGAAGGAAGAAGCACCUGAGUGGAAAAGUGACUCUUCCAAGAUGGUGCAAGGAGUCCUCCUGGCUGGGAGAAACCCCCAUGUCUUUCAGUUCUGUGCUCUAACCUCAGGAAUCCUUCCCUGGACAGGCUAGGUGCUCCAUGCUGAGGAAAGACUAGUGCACAUGCUUUUGACAUUUAUGUUAAAAUAAAUAUUGUAUAAAGUGACA
rnacentral:lncRNA from 1 species